rnacentral:rRNA from 1 species
UAAAAAGGAGACACUACCCUGAACAAGCCCGAUCCCAUCUGAUCUUGGAAGCUAAGCAAGGUCAGGCCUGGUUAGUACUUGGAUAGGAGACCGCCUAGGAAGACCAGGUGCUAUAGGUG